GCUGUUAAGACUUGCAGUGAUGUUUAGCUCCUCUCCAUGUGAACAUCACAGCAAGUCUGUGCUGC
ensembl:miRNA